rnacentral:lncRNA from 1 species
AGGAGACAUCCGAUGUAGCCCUCCUAAUCUUCACUGAAGUCGGAGAUGUACUUUCAGAGAUUAGUGGGGUCACUUAGGAAAUUCGAGGUCCAGUCAACUCAGAGAUUGAGCUGCGAGGGGCGAGAAGUGCAGCCUUCAGGUGUCUCCCAGAUCCUCACCCACUGGAGCGGCAGCAGAGGGAAGAGAAGGAGUGAAAUAUAACGUUGGAAAUCUUGUGUUUUGGUCCAUGUUGGGAUGUGCUGAAUUCAGAUAUAUGUUAGAGAGGAGGAGUAAAGAAAGACAAUCUUUGUUGAACAUCUUCACGUCUUCCGUCCUCCAUCUGCUGUGAGAAAGAAGGCACUUCUCUCAAGGCAGAGUUCCAGGAGAGCAAAGCAAAGAAAGCCUGAAUGCCUUGCGUGUACCAUCUUGUUCCUGCUAUGAUCCGAACUGACAGAACUUUAUACUUAUGUCAUGGCAAGAAUUUCUUUCUGUCCUAAGUUACCAUCAGCAGUUUGCAGAUGUGUCUCCCUACCCAG